CCAUGUAUCUGUCUGUCUAAAUCAGUUUACUGCAGUAAAUAUGGGUGCAGAGUAUAAAAAAUACAGAAUUAGUUUUCUCUCUUGUUUAGACACUGGUACUGAAUGCUUUGGCCUUCAGAAACAAGUAUACAACUCAUCCAUAUUUGCCUGAGGAACUCAUAACUGUGAAAUUCAGCAAGGUUAGACUGUCAUAAAGCUGUAGUAAGCUAUUAACCAGUGCCAUAACUGACUUGGAGUGGCCUGAGUCUGACUCCUGAAGGGAGAGAUCACAGUCUGCUCUGUAGAUGGACAUGCCAAACUCGAGCUUUCAUCUUCUGGAGAAGACUUCACAGUGGACUUUAUCUAUCAGUCUAGCCAAAAUGAAGUCACAGUAUCUGCAAGGUCACCAUGAAUCUCAUUAUGUCUAGAACAAGUCAUAUUUUGUAACCCCCAUAUAUAUUCUCCCACAAAAAAUGUAUUAUAUGUAUUUUUAUUAAUGUAUUUAUUUUGUAGUGAAAUUUGACCUGGCUUUAGCGAGAUUCAAUGCUCAUGUUUCAUAUAUUGUAUUGUCAUAGAAAAACUACAAUUACAAUAAGUAUUUGAUGGUGUUAGUGUGUUGUCCACACUCAUAGUAUGCUUAUUUCAAUGUGAUUUUAAGGUGGCAAUAUGAUGGUGUGAAUCCUGACUUGCUGGAACAGGAAGAGGAGUCACAGCUGAGCUGGUGAAAGUGAUCUGAUGCAAAAGACAUCAUACCGGUUCUCUUCCAGUUUCUACCAUCAGGAAGACGGUACCAGGGCAUCAGAGCCCGCUCCGCCAGACUGCUCAAUAGCUUUUUCACCCAGUACAGGCUGUGAGAGUCCUGAACUCAUAUCAACCUCGACCUCCUCUGAAACCCCACACAAACUCCCUACCUCCUGAAACAUGGACCAUCUCACCUCCUCCACCCCCCAACCUUACCACAUCACAGAAAAACUCUGAAACACUCUUUUUUUGUAUGCAAUUUGAAGUGGGCUACACACAGGUGAGUGGGCCUGUACAAACCACCUGUAGUAACACACUCUCUUCUAUGCACACCAGACACUUUUCACACACACUGCUGUGUACAUAAUCCCAAAAAAGAC